UCUUGGUCCAAUUAGAGGAAGUAAAAGUCGUAACAAGGUCUCCGUUGGUGAACCAGCGGAGGGAUCAUUACAGAGUUGCAAAACUCCCUAAACCAUUGUGAACGUUACCUAUACCGUUGCUUCGGCGGGCGGCCCCGGGGUUUACCCCCCGGGCGCCCCUGGGCCCCACCGCGGGCGCCCGCCGGAGGUCACCAAACUCUUGAUAAUUUAUGGCCUCUCUGAGUCUUCUGUACUGAAUAAGUCAAAACUUUCAACAACGGAUCUCUUGGUUCUGGCAUCGAUGAAGAACGCAGCGAAAUGCGAUAAGUAAUGUGAAUUGCAGAAUUCAGUGAAUCAUCGAAUCUUUGAACGCACAUUGCGCCCGCCAGCAUUCUGGCGGGCAUGCCUGUUCGAGCGUCAUUUCAACCAUCAAGCCCCCGGGCUUGUGUUGGGGACCUGCGGCUGCCGCAGGCCCUGAAAAGCAGUGGCGGGCUCGCUGUCGCACCGAGCGUAGUAGCAUACAUCUCGCUCUGGUCGCGCCGCGGGUUCCGGCCGUUAAACCACCUUUUUAACCCA
rnacentral:rRNA from 1 species